rnacentral:rRNA from 1 species
AUUGAACGCUGGCGGCAUGCCUUACACAUGCGAGUCGAACGGUAACAGGUCUUCGGAUGCUGACGAGUGGCGAACGGGUGAGUAAUACAUCGGAACGUGCCCGAGAGUGGGGGAUAACGAGGCGAAAGCUUUGCUAAUACCGCAUACGAUCUCAGGAUGAAAGCAGGGGACCGCAAGGCCUUGCGCUCACGGAGCGGCCGAUGGCAGAUUAGGUAGUUGGUGGGAUAAAAGCUUACCAAGCCGACGAUCUGUAGCUGGUCUGAGAGGACGACCAGCCACAAUGGGAAUGAGACACGGCCCAGACUCCUACGGGAGGCAGCAGUGGGGAAUUUUGGACAAUGGGCGCAAGCCUGAUUCAGCCAUGCCGCGUGCAGGAUGAAGGCCUUCGGGUUGUAAACUGCUUUUGUACGGAACGAAAAGACUCUGGUUAAUACCUGGGGUCCAUGACGGUACCGUAAGAAUAAGCACCGGCUAACUACGUGCCAGCAGCCGCCGUAAAAC